rnacentral:rRNA from 1 species
CACUCCUGCGGGAGGCAGCAGUGGGGAAUUUUGGACAAUGGGCGAAAGCCUGAUCCAGCAAUGCCGCGUGAGUGAAGAAGGCCUUCGGGUUGUAAAGCUCUUUUGUCAGGGAAGAAACGGUGAAAGCUAAUAUCUUUUGCUAAUGACGGUACCUGAAGAAUAAGCACCGGCUAACUACGUGCCAGCAGCCGCGGUAAUACGUAGGGUGCAAGCGUUAAUCGGAAUUACUGGGCGUAAAGCGUGCGCAGGCGGUUUUGUAAGUCUGAUGUGAAAUCCCCGGGCUCAACCUGGGAAUUGCAUUGGAGACUGCAAGGCUAGAAUCUGGCAGAGGGGGGUAGAAUUCCACGUGUAGCAGUGAAAUGCGUAGAUAUGUGGAGGAACACCGAUGGCGAAGGCAGCCCCCUGGGUCAAGAUUGACGCUCAUGCACGAAAGCGUGGGGAGCAAACAGGAUUAGAAACCCGAGUAGUCCCA